ACUUAAAUAACUUAAAAUUAGAGUGUAACAUUGAAGCUGUUAAAGUGAUUAGUUAAUCUUUAAGUA
rnacentral:tRNA from 1 species